UCAUGUGACUUUCUGUGUUUUAACUGUUCUUUUUGGUGGAGCAAGGAUACAUCAAUGGAAACGCUGGGAAGAUUCCAUUCAAAAGGAUAAUUAUGAUCUAGAGCAUGUUUUGAAGAAAAAGGUGACCCAUGUUCGUCAACAUGCUUUUAUCAAAGAGCAUUUUCUGGGUGUUGGUAAAGAUUCAGCUAUCUUGGGAUGGUUGGUAUGUUAUGAUUUCUUUCAUAUUAAAUUGUAUCAACUGCAUUUUGACGGAAGGUUUAGACUGAUAAACUUUUUUUUUUUAGAUAAAAAGUAUGAAGGACAUACUAACAUGGUACCAGAAAGGGAGUACAAUCCAUGUACAUAGACUUUACAACAGUAUUAGUGUAUCUAUGACAUGCUCAUCACUAAUAAUAUCAUCACCUAACAAAA